rnacentral:rRNA from 1 species
AUUGAACGCUGGCGGCAGGCCUAACACAUGCAAGUCGAACGAGUGGCGGACGGGUGAGUAAUGUCUGGGAAACUGCCCGAUGGAGGGGGAUAACUACUGGAAACGGUAGCUAAUACCGCAUACCAUCGGAUGUGCCCAGAUGGGAUUAGCUAGUAGGUGGGGUAAGGGCUCACCUAGGCGACGAUCCCUAGCUGGUCUGAGAGGAUGACCAGCCACACUGGAACUGAGACACGGUCCAGACUCCUACGGGAGGCAGCAGUGGGGAAUAUUGGACAAUGGGGGAAAGCCUGAUCCAGCCAUCCCGCGUGUAUGAAGAAGGCCUUCGGGUUGUAAAGCACUUUCAGCAAGAAAGCGGUACCCGCAGAAUAAGCACCGGCUAACUCCGUGCCAGCAGCCGCGGUAAUUC